rnacentral:rRNA from 1 species
AACGUAGGAGACAAACGUUAUCCGGAGUUACUGGGCGUAAAGGGCGUGCAGGUGGUCUGUUAAGUCUGGCGUGAAAGCUCUCGGCUAAACCGGGAGAGGUCGUUGGAUACGGGCAGACUAGAGGUAUGCAGGGGAGAACGGAAAUUCCUGGUGUAGCGGUGGAAAUGCGCAGAUAUCAGGAGGAACACCCGUGGCGAAGGCGGUUCUCUGGGACGGUACUGACGCUGAGACGCGAAAGCUAGGGGAGCGAACGGG